UACAGAGGGUGCAAGCGUUAAUCGGAAUUACUGGGCGUAAAGCGUGCGUAGACGGUUAUGUAAGUCGGGUGUGAAAGCCCCGGGCUCAACCUGGGAAUGCCAUUCGAGACUGCAUAGCUAGGGUGCGGAAGAGGGAAGCGGAAUUUCCGGUGUAGCGGUGAAAUGCGUAGAUAUCGGAAGGAACACCAGUGGCGAAAGCGGCUUCCUGGUCCAGCGCCGACGUUCAGGCACGAAAGCGUGGGGAGCAAACAGG
rnacentral:rRNA from 1 species